ensembl:lncRNA
UGUACGAAGCUUAUUUGCUAUUUGUAAAUUGUUUCACAAGUGUGUGUCUCUUGUGUUUUGUAUGUCUGUGUGAGUGUUUGUGUGUGUUGUAUAAUCAAACUGUUGGUGUCCCAAGUGGAUGUGUAAUACCUGAACUGUAGGGCUUCCUUUGCAAUAUGCAGUGCAGGUACUAUGAGAAGCAGCUUUUGCUAACCCUCAUGGGCUAAUAAACACAUUUGUGAUGCACAUUUACGAAGACAUCUAUUGAUCAAACAUUGAUACUGGUAAAUACAUUGCCCCUAUUGGAAGAAGUAUAUGGCAUUUUGUGCCUAGUGCUUCAGUUACCUUCAUUCAGCUGGUUGCAAUUUGAAAAGGCAAGGUGUACCUGAGAAAAGUCUCACAGCUUCACUGUGUUCUAUCUUUGUCUCUUUCAAAUGGGAAAAACAAGGACGUGAUGAUGAGGACUGUAAUUAACAUAGAUCACAAAGUUCGGAUAUCCUCGUAUUUGAAACAACGGACCUACUGCAUGCAUCAGAGCGGUGUCUUCAUAUUAUGUCAUAGUCUCCAUCUGGUCACUGAAUAGCAUGUGGUUGUCAAAGCGAAGGAAACAAUAUACACUCCCCUACGUGUUUUGUGGGAACAGUGAAUCUACAUGUUUAAUUUGUCUCUGUACCCCAGCAUAUUUUCAUACAUAUCUGUUUUAACGUUUAGAAAUGAAAGCAUGUUAUGUAUGUAGUCCCCCCAUUUGAACGUAUUAGAAGUAUUUGGGCGAAUUCACUUAUAGUGUAUUAUAUUUAGUCAAAAGUUUAUUAUUUGGUCCCAUAUUCCUAACACGCAAUGAGUACAUCAAGCUUGUGACUACAAACUAGUUGGAUGAAUUUGCAGUUUAUAUUGGUUGUGCUGUUGUGCUAUGCCCACUAGAAAUGAAUGGUAAAUAAUGUGUAGUGUAUUUUGGAGUCACUUUCAUUGUAAAUUAGAAUAUCAUAUUUCUGAACGAUUAUAAAUUAAGGUGGAUGCUACCAUGAUUAUGGAUAAUUAUGAAAGAAUCGUCAAUAAUGAUGUGUGAUAAAGUUACAGAGACAUAAAUAUCAUGCCCCUCAUGAGAGGAUAGCAUGUUUUGAGGGAUCUUUGUGCAUCUGUAACUUGGUACAUUCAUGUAAAAGUGUCCAAAAACAUAUUAUUUUCUUAUUUACAAUAAAAGCGACACCAAGUAUUCACUAUAAGUGAAUUUGUCCAAUAUUUAAAAUGGGGAGGACGAGAUACAUAAAGUGCUUUCAUUUCUAAGCGGUAAAUAUUCUGUACUGGCGCUACAUAAGACAAUAUUAAACGUUUUAGCUUCGCUGUCCAAAUAAAUACGUAGGUGAGUGUAUGUGACGUGUGAUUGGCCAGCAGUUUGUUAUCCUCUGCUGCAGAGAUCUCUAGGGUGAACAUAAGCCUAUACCUGCUUCUACUCUAUAGCUUCAAUUGCCACACUAAGUCAAGGAACACUGAAUGCAAUGUUAAUUUGUCUCUAUUUUUGGAGGACUCUCUGUAGGCGUAGGUUUGCUGAGGCAAUGUCCUUAACAGAUGGCUACAGUAUGUAAGGGACUGCUGUGAUCUAUUUUGAUCACAUGUUAUUGCUCUGCCAUACAGUUGUUGUUGGUGUUGGUGGUAGUGUUCAGGGCCGUAAAACCAGGGUCUUAGUCCAGACUGUUUUAAGAAAGUUGAAGCUCAUUUACUGCAUUUCGAUACAGAUUUUUUAAAUGUUUAUCUAAAAUGCUAUUUGGAGAACAGCAAAACGUGACCCCAGCCAUUAUCACACUGGUCGCUGUAGCUUCAUUCACCUCAGUCCAUCUCCAAACACACAGCCUACUGGCUAUACAAUUAGCCGCUACACAUGAACUCAGAACUGGGAUUAAAAACUAUGAUUGAAUACGUACAGAGGGAUAUGUUGGCAGAAAAAAAGUAUUUCAUUAACGAAAAAGUAAACAAAUGAGUUUGUUUUACAGAACAAUUGUUUUUGCAGUUUUACAGCUAAUUUCCUGUCGUUCUCCACAUGUUGCCAUGACUUAUUCCAUGUGAAUGAUAUCUGAGUGAGAGGGACUAACUAAAUCAAUUGAAAUCCCCCUGGGGUGCCCAGACGGUAAUUCAGCCACGAUUACUACAAGUUUAGAUAGCUGGCUAGACUAACUAGACUCAUUUACCAAUCUAAAAAUGUGUUACUGACAUGGGCUAAUUGAGUGACUGUCAGUGAGUGACAUAUAACAACAGGAAAACUACUGAUGCACAACUACGCUUUGAAAUUGCACCUUGUGUAUUCUACUAUUCUAGAACAGUAAGUUGAGACCCUGACGGAGUUCCAUCUUUUGAAUUUUUGUCCAACUAUGUGGUUUACAGCCCUGGUGGUUGUCUGCUGUAUGGAAUAAUAUAGAACUGGUCAACCGUCUAGGCAGAGCAGUACAGUCACCAAAUGAGUCCCAGUAAACACAGUGAACCGUGCACCGUGAAAGCAAGUCCAACCUUCAGUUUCGCAAAACCAGAAUAAUGAAUGCACUCUAUGAUAGCCAUGGAGCCAUCACUUAUUUAUAAUGAAACCAAGACCAGACAAUAGUUGCUUCCAAGUGUAUUACCAGUGAGAUAAUCUAGCAUUAUUUUGUGAUGAUCAAGAUUAUCAAGUGAUAUCAAGUGAUUGUUUGGACCACUUGGCAGUCUUAUACAGUCAGCCUAAAUGAUAUUUAUGUAACACAUGAAUCAAAUGCACUAUUGACUGUAGAUGUCUUUCUUAAAGUGCGUCAUUUUCUCGUUGUCACAGGUUGUUUAAAAAGACAAUAGCGAUGUAGAUAUUGUUUUUUUAAUAGACAGCGUUUUCGAGAGCGGAUUUGGGCUAUAAAUCAUCCAUAUUAUUCCACGGCUGAUGAGAGGUUCAAUGGAUAUACGACAUGACAUUGACAGUACUGAGGUAUAGGCCUGUUGGUUACCCAUAGACGGUUGACCUCACUCAUACGUGUGUUGUUAAGGCAAACUUGACUUACAAGUAGAAGAUUAGCAUUAGUGUCAUCUUAUGAUACCAUACAUUGACAUGGCUGAUGAACUACCUAGGAUUUGUUUUCCAACGGCGCCAUUUUCCCCUCUCCCUGGCCUUACUUAUAACAGCUCUCUUUUUGUUUCAUUCACUUAUUGUACCCGUGGCUGAUGUCCCAUUAUUGUGUUCAAUGAAUAGUCAGAAAGUUGUGAAAACAUGCAAUGCAACCCUGAAAUACACCCCUGUCGUAAUUGUCCCAUUUAUGUUUGUAAGAUUGCUGUAACGUAAUGUGUUUUUUCAACUAUACAAUAUACUCACAGGUAUAGAGUUACGCAGAAUUAAGCCUAUAGCUCUUCGUUCGGUGUUUUAUAACGGUCACUUUCUUAUAUUUCACAUUUUUACUUAAGGGUAGAGACACAGGAUCAGUUUUUCAGUGUUUGAAUCAUCUGUGUGCUUGUGUGUUUCAGGGCUUUACUUUGACCUUUUAUCUGGCAACCAUUGUGUACCGGUGUAUUUGUAAUUCAUUUUUAGUUAGUGGGCAAACAGGAUAGACAGCCAUUGAAGACAUCACAGCUUGCCAGAAGCACAUAUCUUCUGGGUGGACACAAACCUCUUUUCAAAUGAGAGAGAGAGAGAGGGGGGGGGGAAUAUAAGAACUAAAGUAGUGAUAUGCUUGAAUGCCACAGCACAUGUGAUAUACACUCCUAGAAAAAAAAGGUGCUAUGUAGACCCCCCAAAAAAGAGUUGGUCAGCUGUCCACAUAGAAUAACUGUUUGAAGAACCCUUUUUGGUUCCAGGUACAACCCUAUUGGGUUGCAGGUAGAGCUGUUUCUACAGAGGGUUCUAUAUGGAACCCAAAAGGGUUCUGCCCGGAACCAAAAAGGGCUCUACCCGAGUGUGCUUCUUGUUCUAGAAGGCUUAGAAAUACUCAUGCUAUUUGUCUAACAGCUUACAUCAGUGUCCUCACAUUCAUUUCAUGUGCUUCCACAGUAUCUUGCAUAGUAACUCAGAUAGUAACGAACAGUUACUCUGACAGUAAACCUGCUGGCAUACAUUAUAUAGAUCAAUUCCAACUACAUGGUAUCAGUUGAAUCUAAUGGAUAUACAGUACAUGCACCUCUUCAUCAACAACACGUAUAAUAUAAACUUUUUGAGAUACAGACAGAACUGCAGCUAAAUGAAUGUGCUUUGAGGGAUAUAAGGAGUGUGCCUAUCUAUCAAGUGCCUAUUUGUACAGUACUAUACGAAAUCUUCAUAAAGUAGUUUUGCUCUCCUACAGUACAUUUUCCAAAUAUAUACAGUAUAUACACAUGAUAAUCUAUACACAAAUGAUAACAAUAUUUAUACUACUACAACAACAAUGUUGGUCAUAGUCAUAACACAGUGCAUCCUAAGAAAGCCUUUUAAAAUAUCUUUAUCCGCCUCAAAUCUUCUAUUUAUAUACAGAUAGAUUUGUGUUUUUAUUUCCUGCUGUCAUACAUAGCUUUGUAACUAAUACAUAAAGACAAAACCGCUAUGGUAAACAACUGGAGUUAAUUUACUGUAAAACAGUAAGGGUCAUAGCCCACCCAACUCUUCUUCAUUAAAACAAUGAGUAAGCAUGUACAAUAAUAUGAUAUAGUAGCUGGUCCCUAUCUUCAUAUUUGCCAUUACACACACACACAGAAUUGUUUUGUUUGUCUAAAACAAUGUAAUCUCAAAGAGUUUGCCCAGGUUUGUAACCACACCUAAAUUGUCAUGACUUCUGGCUUAUCAGCUUUAGCUAUCAUUCUUCUGCCAUUCUGAACGUCCAUAAUUACAUUUGGGGGGGGUGCUCUUAGUAGUAGCUCUAUAGUGGUCACUAAAACCCUUUUCACAUUUUCUUUUGAUGCAAAAUUCCUACCGCAAUCAAAUGUUGUCCUUAGACAUAGCCUAGCUGUUCUCUCAGAAUUCAAUGAUCACGAUCUCACUUCAGACCUCCCAGUCAGUUGAGCACAUACCGUGUGUUUGUUCCCUGCUUGUAGUUCAUAUCGAUGGAUUGCGUGUAUACUUGUGUCUUUGUGCUGGUUCGGGCGAUGAUAGGCAGUCGAAAUCCGUUUCUGACCUAGCAAUCAACUAUGCUUAUCUGUCCCUGCACAUAGCUACACGUGCACCUGCAUUUCUGUGCAUGAUCAGUCACACAGAUGCAGUACUAUAUUUGAUUCAGCUACUCCAGUCCACAACACCACAGCAAUACCAGUUAGAAGUGCAAACGCGUUUUACGCGAAGAGUAGCAAGCCUUUGUCCGAGUGUCGACUGUAAUAAGUGUCCUUACGAACCAGAAUCGGACAGCUGUCCCAUAUAUCAGCCUCUCUUCAGCAUUCUUCUCUUUACUAUCAUUGUAUAAGAGUGUUACUCUCUAGAAUAUGAUUUGGAGAUCAAUCGUCAUCUUUUCUUGUUUGCGUAUCUCUAACUUGAAUUGAUAGGGAAAAGUUCAUGCUAUACAUUAUCCGAGCCCAAUACCCGCCGCAUAUUUGAAAGAUUGACAUUCCUGUAUUGUCCAGAACAUUCCUAACUAGUCUGGCAUCACUUUACGUGACUAUGUUGUCACAGACAACGUGACCCCCAACAGCCUUACUAGGACACCAGAUCAUUUACUUUCUUUUCACUAUUCGCUGGUCUGCUGGUUAUUCUGUCCUGGGACAUUUUCCCCUCUAAGUUGGUUUAUGUUUAGCUGAAUAUCCGCAAUAAAUCCCACUCGUAUUGAUGUUUCAUUUAAAUGUCACUGGCUAGCUCAAAUUUAGAUGAUUUACAGGUCAGUCUCAGAAAAGCAGUGCUUAGCAUCUCUUGCAUUGAUGAUUCCAUCAUUGUAUUUGCUAUAGCUUCUAAACCCAGGGCAAAAUAUGCCCCUGCGUACACGACAAUGGUUUGCUUGCUACCAUGGCGUGCUCUUCUGGACCAUGGUGUGCUCUGGUGCCUGUCUGAUUGGGUUUCAUAUGCAAUAUCUCAACCCCCCAGUAAAUGUUGUCUUUUAGUUAUAGAGAAUACUGAGUCAUCCAGAAGCUGUGGCGUUUGAAAGGUGCUGAAUAAAAGAGCCUCAACAGUAGCUUGCUUAGCACCUUUGGAUUGUCUUGGGGCUUUCGGCAGGUCUCUUGAACUUCUAACAUGUCCAGAAGAUAGUUUAUGUCUAUGGUAAGAUUAAGCAACAUGCACUGCACUGUGUUACCCAUAUGUUUUUCUAAGUUGGUCCCUCUUUCACCUAAUAGGUUCGGUUAACACUUUCUGUCCACUUUCGGCUGUGUUCCCCUUCCCCCCCAUACUUGUGGUCUCGCUCAGCAUGCAAUCAUAUAUAAUUAGUUUGAACAUGCAGAACGUCCAUGACAAUACGUUGCUUUGUGUUGUUGUUGAAGGUGUGUUGUUGUUGAAGGUGUGUUGUUGUUGAGCCAUUAGGGGGUUAUUGAACAUGUUGGAUGACAUGUUUUUUUGUUCUUGCCGUAAACACCAAAGAAUCAUAAGAAUAUCACAGUGUCUUGAGUUUCAAGCAGAAAGAACAUAAUCUGUUGUGUAAUCGAUAACAAAGACUACCAAGGUGUACGUUCCUGUACAUUUGUGCGCGUUCAAAUCUGGCUAGAUGGCUACUGUUCUAUUUUAUUUUGAUACUAAAGACAGGGUGCUUGUGAAAAUGCGUUACUGCGUUUUAUACUCUGAUCACGAUCGGUAGACUGUAGUUGAAUAGUUGUGUUGAUGUGCCUACUGUAGACCAAAAUAGCUUUUCUAAAGAAAUUCAGCAAAACAGAAAAAAUAAAUCUGACACGUAGUAGCUGGGAUGUAAAACUAUAGCAUGUUAUUACAUGAAUAAGAUUUUUAAAUGUUGCAUUGUUCCUCUGCUUAAAAGUAAUACCCAAUAUCUAUUAGUUAUUUUUCUCUCCAUACUCUCAGCUAAUUGAUUUAGGCCUUUCCAAUACGCAUUUGAUUUGGUUUGAUUCAUCUGUUUGUCUUUGUUUGAUCCGUUCAUCUGCUAUUCCAGUUUUCAGCAGUUGAUUUCUUCCUGCCGUAUUGUUGAUUUCAAAAGCUUUUAUUCUCUAAUAAACAAAAUGCACUGGAUUGGUGGAAAACUGAUACUCAACUGAAGUGCCAUGCACAAUUGAUCAAUUGGCCUGACUAAUAUUCAAAAGACACAAGUUUCAAAAUGUUUUUCAAACAUAUAGUGGAAGAUCCAUAGCAAAUUUAUACCGUUUUUUUUUUCAUACUUUGAGAUGGACCAAGAUGCUAGUUGCUUUUGCACAUAUUUGUUUAUUGGUUUUGCAAUGUGUUGAUGCCAUUGAGUAAAAGAUUAGGAAGAUUAAAUUUACCGCUGCCCAUAACAACCAAUCCAAGUAACGCAAAGAGGCCUAAAUCUGAUUUAAAGGCCUUUAAAAAAAAAAAAUGUCCCACAAUACGAUAUUAGUACAUUUUGAUGGCUACCCUAGAGCCUGCUACAGAUACAUUCUUCCCAGAGAGCAUGAAGCCCAAUAGCCAGCAGACAUUUGAUGAAUAAUCACUGCAAAAACAACAAUACAGUGUAAUAAUAUUCACAUGAAUUGAGUUGUAUUAACAUCUUAAAGAUGUGGACCAAAUUUUUUAUCAGUUGGUGGCAUACGUGAUAUCGAUUACUACAUGAUAUAUUUUCUGUCAUAUUAAUUGUUCAUAUCAAAGAAGAAUGUAACCCCUUGGGAUUUUUUUGUGGUUGUUCAUAUUUCACGUAUUGAUGAGGUAUGGCCUUUUGAAGCUUUUUUUCAAGCUGGAUGUUCGAAAUAGGAUUCGUAACUCGUGUCAUGCUUCUUUAGUGUAGUAGUGUCAUAACGUCAGCGUCUCCCAUAGGACAUUGUAAGAUCCCCCUCAGUGAUAAAUCGGACAUUCAGUGUGCUCUCGAAGUGUAGCUAGCUGUAUGUUACAGAAAGCGUAGGUUUUUUAAUCAGACAGUCAAGCUUUUUUGGAAAAAAAUGCACCUGCAGUCAAAUGUGAGGGGCAUUUAUAUAUACACAUGUAUUUAAUUAAGAAUAUUUUGUUUAGGUUUUGUUGCCUGCUUUGGCUUGCGAUUUCUUUAUCUUCCUGAUCAAAUACUCCUUAUAUAUAAAAAUAAUGAACUUGGAGCUGUUGUAGUACAGGUAGUUAACAUCACAAUUAAGGAACCCUGACUUAUAUGCUGCAGUAAUGUUGUUUUGUCAGUUUUGUUUUCUUUUAUGUGUGCUCCUAGUUGGUUUUUAUUUUUAUUAUUGUUAUGAAACAACCUUGUUUGAAUUGUAUGACUGCUGUUUUGAAAUAGGUGAUACGUUUAAAAAAAAAUUUUUUUUUAAUGUAUGUACAAGGAAGUUUUAUAAUUUGACUUGUCAAACACUGGACUGAGUUUUCCAACAUUUCCAAGUUGAGAGCUAUUAUAUGAGAGACAUUAACCGACUGCACAGAAUAAAGCCUUAUCACACCCAUUAACUGACAGAUGAAGCAUGUCCACACUGCUGGAGAAGGAAUAGUGACACCAUUUUUAAAAAUGGAAAUUGCUAAUUAUAUUUGCACCAUUUUAAUUAAGUUCAAUAAGGUGCUGAAUAUAUCUGCUAAAUUGUUGCAUUUGUCAGGCUUAUUCAAAUUUGUCCGUCAUUAUUAUACAAUAACAAUUUCAAAAUUCUCUGUUCUAACAAAAGACUGUUCUAAUAAGUAUAUGCUGAAAUAUCAAAAGGGAUACCACUUAAUAGCAAUUCAAUAAUCAAACUAAACCACUCAGUAUAUGUCGUCUUAAUGUUAAAGUCUUUUGCAGAGUCAACUACCACUUAUCAAACCAGAAAAGAGAUUUGCACUAAUCAUAUUUUGGUCUUUGUUGAUGGAAAGCAAUACAACACAGAACAUUUGACACAUUCUUCAAGCCACAGUAUUUGAAAUAAAAGCGCUGUCUGUGUACAGGUGUAAUGCUGUGUAAAAGGUUAUGUUUUAAAAGUUUUUUUUUUAUUUAAAAAAAAAAAGAUUUUUGUUUAAAGGUACAGAAUGGAAACCUGUUGUCUUUGAGACACAUUAUGAACUUGGACACGCACAUAUUGUUGUUUAGAGUUGACAUGUUUGACCAAUCAGACAUUCUGUUUCCUCUUGUGAUUGUUUUGGACUAAAUGAAAUUGCUCUUACAAGCCCUAAGUGAGGGACAGGAAGGAGUUGAGAGUCACAAGAUGUCCCAUAAACAUGCACUCAAUUGUAAAAUGUCCUCAUCAGAAAAAGAUGGUGGUAACGGAACCAAAGGUAAUAAAAGUUUAUGUUAUGUAGACAAUAUUUUCUUUCAAAUGAUGCCAACAUAACACAUUAAACUUCCUCCAUGUUAAAACAUUCAAUUUCUUCACUGAUUUACUUAUUUUUCUGUUUUAAAACACUCAUAUGUAAAGAUCUGAGGUCAGGUCGGAGUACAUCUUUCUGGGACAUUAUUGAUAACAUUUUUGAAAAUGGGAGAAAAAAAAGACUACAACAUUUCUGUAGAAAAACACUGAUGGAUGGGAAAUGCCUCUUUCCUUGUCAAUUUUAACAUCAGUUUAGUCAUCCAAAGAAUCAAAGUCCACCCAAACAUAUUAGAAUUCAUAAUUAUCCGUAAGGAAAUAGACAUCAAGAGUAGUGGGGUGAAAUAUUGUUGAAGUCGAAAUGUUCUGAAUUGAUAAUUAUAAACCAUCAAUCAUUUAUGAUAGCAAUCAUGAUAAUUAUAAUUUUUGGUAUCUGGGAAUAGUAGCUUUCCUGUUAUAACCGCUUUGUGGUGUUAUUGAAAGGUGUUGCAGUUUGUCUAAAUAUGAAGCAUAAGUAUGUGCCUUCUUGUAAUCUCCUUGGUGAGCUUGUUAUUAUUGAGAAGCUGAAGCCAGCCAAUAGUGUUUGCACUAAAACCAAAUUGCUUUUGUGAUGUAGGCUAUUUAAGCAAGCUUGUUGCAUCACUUUAACCGUACAGUAUGCAUGAGGGUGAAAUUGGUAAAUUCUACGGCUAGCGCUCCCAUCUGUUGAUCUGUUAACUAGUGCAGCUUAGUGAAUACCCCGACUAUAUAUCAGCUUUGUACUGCGUUCCGUUUCUGAUUCCAUCUCAUUCAUUACUCUUCUAAUUUCUCAAGACGCAUGUUCCACAUGAAAUAACCUCUGUGGAAUAUCCAUACUCUAAAAGACAAAGCAAAUGACAUAACAAAUCAAACACAGCUCUCCUUUUUCUUUUCAUAUGCCACAGCUGAAGAGCUGCAAUACUAGUUGUAAGAGAUAUUCAACCAUUCUCUCAACCCACGGGGAUGCAUGAGUACAAGAGGCUACUUCGAGACUUGGUCAACUUUAUUUUGAUUGUUUUUAAAAAAAGUUUGUGUUUCUAAGUUAUUUUAGUCAGUUUGAAAUCAUAAGAGAAAUAAAUAGCUACAUGCUUUGAGUCUUACAAAUGCACCUUUAUUCAUGUCAGUCUGAGUGGAAAAGGCUGGUUAUGUAAUAUGUCUGAUUUAGCACCUUACUACACAGCAUGUUUUCACUAUAUGCCAGUUUUGCUACUCUUCCGUGCAUAUGAUUUCCAAAACAAACCUUAUAUAUUUUGUGAAAAUGUUUAAAGGGAUGUGCCAAAGUUAGGAGGCGAUCUCCCGAGUGUUUAAAGCUUAUAAUCUUUUUCUUUCUUCCUCCUUCAGUUAUCACAAUGGUAUGUCAGACCUUUCCUAUCAAUGUGUGAAAGCAAGUUAUUUCAGCAAACAGUAUCAUUACCUGCCAUUUUACAGUAAGCCCUGUAUUUCACGUAUAUUUACCAGUGAUGUGUAUUUGUUAUUAUAAAGAAAAAUAGCCGUAAAGCUUCAUUAUGUUACAUAAUAUUGUGACUUUUUUCGAAAAACUGUGAAGACUUAUCUUGCAUAUACUUUAUACAGAAGUAUUAAGCCUUAAUACAAAAUACUAAAAAAAGUGUGGAAGAAUAAACUGAUUGUUGCUAAGUAAGGAUGAUUUUUUGUAAAUGUUACCAGCACUUUUUUUGUAAUUUUCACUCUCUGAGGUAUUGUACAAGUUCACGCUGUUUGUGAAGUUUGAUUAUGAAGGAAUAAAAAACUAGUACUUUCCUGUACUUCACAGAAAGUAAUGUUUUGUGUUUUUAUUUCAUUAAAGGAUUUGA